GGUCGGUCCCCCUUGUGACGAGGGGUUGUGAACCCGGUCAGGUCCGGAAGGAAGCAGCCGCAGCAGCCAUUUCGGGUACGAGGGUGCGGCCGGCCCGA
rnacentral:SRP_RNA from 1 species